GGGUCAAAGCUAAAGCACUCUUCUUCCCAGCUUUAUUGAAUCCAUAUGAAGUAAAAUUAGCGGUCAAUUGGCUUUCAAAAUAUUCAAAUUUUGAAUCCCCUCGAUUUCAAAUUCAUAUCCCAUUAAAAUUUCAAAUUCAUAUCCCAUUCAAAAUUCAAAUUCAUUAUUUCCCCGCACCAAAGAAACUCCAAAACCCAGAGAAAGAGAGGGAGAAGAGACGAGACGACUCUGAACCGAAACAUCUUCCUUUCAAAACCCUAAUUUGCUUCCCCUCUGUUAUUCGUCGACCCAGAUCUGGAACGAGAUUUGUCGUAUGUUUCAUGUGAUGAUAAGACAGUAUCUAAUGGCUUUCUAGAUGGAACAAGAUCGUUUUCUAUAGCAAUAAAACGAGAUCAUCAUAUGUUAAAUUCGCAUAUGCAGGGUUCGUGGUUGAUUCUGUUUUGCAAAUGGAUCACGUUUGUUGAACAAACAGUUUAGAUUUGGACAAUCGAACGGACACGAAUAGCGGUUUAAAUUGAAGAAAUUAUGAUUCCGGUGUACGUAGUGGAUAUGAAUUUGCCGGUGUAGGUGUGUGUUUUGCUGUGUAAUCUUGUUUCUGUAGAGUUUGAGCAAGAGCUUGGCGCUGAGCGUGUAGUGAAGUAACAGGAAGGAAUCAUGUUUGGUUCUAGCAAUCGGGGUUGUUUUCUGUGAAGUUAUCUGAUGUCAUGGUUAAAAUCCUAAAUGUAUUGUCUCUGCCGUUGCCAAAGCAUUACCCAUCUGUCUGCAGCUAGCACUAUCUAGCAUGUUUUGAAGUCAUUCGAUCAUAUUUAAAAACAUCAUAAAGGAUAGUAAAAACAGAGUUAAUCAAUUCAUGAGCCCGAUGUACCAGAAGUUCAAUUCUUACUGUUUCUCCUGAACAAUCUGAGUUGAGUAAUUGUAUUUUGUGUUGGCCCUGAGAAACCGUUUGAAGUCGAGUCCAGUUGGAACUUAGAUUGGAACUGCACUAUUUCUGUUACUUCUUUUAUUAUCACUUUAUUAGACUUGGUUUACAAAGUUCUACAUUCUGAUGUCAGAUUAUGGAUGUGCUAGGACCAAGUCUUUGGGAUGUUUGGAGUUCAUUAGGCCAAUCGAUGACACCAAAUGGGACAGCUUUUGCAUGGAAGGCUUUGUUGUGGUUUCUGUUUUGGAUAAAAAGUAUUGGAUCAGGUUUGUUAGAUCUGUAUCUUCCUAUAUUUUGGCAAAUGAAGUUGAAUUUGUAUGCAUUUGACCGAACACAUAACUUUUAAAUGAAUUUAUUUAUUAUACCAAAAUAAUUAUUUUUCCUCCUAAA